GAUGAACGCUGACAGCAUGCUUAACACAUGCAAGUCUUUGGCGAAGCUGUGCUUGCACAGCCUAGCCAAGGCGGACGGGUGAGUAACGCGUAAGGAACUUGCCCUGCAGUCAGGGAUAACAGACGGAAACGACUGAUAAGACCUGGUAAAGUCAGGCGGACUCAUGUCCAGCCUGAUGAAAAGAGCUGCUGCAGGAGAGCCUUGCGUCCUAUUAGCUUGUUGGUGGGGGAACGGCCCACCAAGGCGAUGAUAGGUAGCCGGCCUGAGAGGGUGGACGGCCACAAGGGGACUGAGAUACGGCCCUUACUCCUACGGGAGGCAGCAGUGGGGAAUAUUGGACAAUGGGGGCAACCCUGAUCCAGCAAUUCUGUGUGCACGAUGAAGGUUUUCGGAUUGUAAAGUGCUUUCAGCAGGGAAGAAAAAAAUGACGGUACCUGCAGAAGAAGCGACGGCUAAAUACGUG
rnacentral:rRNA from 1 species